GUCUACAGCCAUACCACCCUGAACACACCUGAUCUUGUCUGAUCUCAGAAGCUAAGUAGGGUCGGGCCUGUUUAGUACUUGGAUGGGAGAAUAGCAUAUUAAAUA
rnacentral:rRNA from 1 species